UACGGGGGGGGGCAAGCGUUGUUCGGAAUUACUGGGCGUAAAGGGCGUGUAGGCGGCCAACUAAGUCCGACGUGAAAUCCCCAGGCUUAACCUGGGAACUGCGUCGGAUACUGGAUGGCUUGAAUCCGGGAGAGGGAUGCGGAAUUCCAGGUGUAGCGGUGAAAUGCGUAGAUAUCGGGAGGAACACCAGUGGCGAAGGCGGCGACCUGGACGGAGCACUGACGCUGAGACGCGAAAGCGUCGGG
rnacentral:rRNA from 1 species